UACGUAGGGUGCGAGCGUUAAUCGGAAUUACUGGGCGUAAAGCGUGCGCAGGCGGUUUUGUAAGUCAGAUGUGAAAUCCCCGGGCUUAACCUGGGAACUGCGUUUGAAACUACAAGGCUAGAGUGUGGCAGAGGGGGGUGGAAUUCCACGUGUAGCAGUGAAAUGCGUAGAGAUGUGGAGGAACACCGAUGGCGAAGGCAGCCCCCUGGGUAACACUGACGCUCAGGCACGAAAGCGUGGGGAGCAAACAGGAUUGAG
rnacentral:rRNA from 1 species